UACGUAGGGUGCGAGCGUUGUCCGGAAUUAUUGGGCGUAAAGAGCUUGUAGGCGGUUUGUCGCGUCUGCUGUGAAACCUCCAGGCUCAACCUGGAGACGCCACCUGAUACUGGUGUGACUAGAGUCCGGUAGGGGAGUGUGGAACUCCUGGUGUAGCGGUGAAAUGCGCAGAUAUCAGGAGGAACACCGGUGGCGAAGGCGGGUCUCUGGGCAACAACUGACGCUGAGGAGCGAAAGCGUGGGGAGCGAACAGG
rnacentral:rRNA from 1 species